rnacentral:rRNA from 1 species
AAAGGGAGCGUAGGCCGUGGAUUAAGCGUGUUGUGAAAUGUAGACGCUCAACGUCUGACUUGCAGCGCGAACUGGUCCACUUGAGUGUGCACAACGUAGGCGGAAUUCGUCGUGUAGCGGUGAAAUGCUUAGAUAUGACGAAGAACCCCGAUUGCGAAGGCAGCUUGCGGGAGCACGACUGACGCUGAGGCUCGAAAGUGCGGGUAUCGAACAGGAUUAGAUACCCUGGUAGUCCGCACGGUAAACGAUGGAUGCCCGUUGUCAGGUUAUUUUAGUCUGGUGACCAAGCGAAAGCAUUAAGCAUCCCACCUGGGGAGUACGCCGGCAACGGUGAAACUCAAAGGAAUUGACGGGGGCCCGCACAAGCGGAGGAACAUGUGGUUUAAUUCGAUGAUACGCGAGGAACCUUACCCGGGCUUGAAUUGCAGACGAACGAUUCAGAGAUGAAGAGGCCUUUCGGGGCGUCUGUGAAGGUGCUGCAUGGUUGUCGUCAGCUCGUGUCGUGAG